CGUCCUACGGGGGGCAGCAGUGGGGGAUAUUGCACAAUGGGGGGAACCCUGAUGCAGCGACGCCGCGUGGGGGAAGAAGCGCCUCGGCGCGUAAAGCCCUGUCAGCAGGGAAGAAAAUGACGGUACCUGAAGAAGAAGCCCCGGCUAACUACGGGCCAGCAGCCGCGGGAAUACGUAGGGGGCAAGCGUUAUCCGGAUUUACUGGGGGUAAAGGGGGCGCAGACGGCGAUGCAAGCCAGGAGUGAAAGCCCGGGGCCCAACCCCGGGACUGCGCGUGGAACUGGGUGGCUGGAGUGCAGGAGGGG
rnacentral:rRNA from 1 species